CCCUUAGAGUUUGAUCCUGGCUCAGGAUGAACGCUGGCGGCGUGCCUAAUACAUGCAAGUCGAACGAAUCUCUUUUAGAGAUGAGUGGCGAACGGGUGAGUAAUACAUAGGUAACCUGCCCCUGUGCGGGGGAUAACAGGAGGAAACUCCUGCUAAUACCGCAUAGCCAUGAGCACCGCAUGGAGCUCAUGCCAAAUAUCCUUUCGGGGAUAGCGCAGGGAUGGACCUAUGGCGCAUUAGCUUGUUGGCGGGGCAACGGCCCACCAAGGCAACGAUGCGUAGCCGGCCUGAGAGGGCGGACGGCCACAUUGGGACUGAGACACGGCCCAGACUCCUACGGGAGGCAGCAGUAGGGAAUUUUCGGCAAUGGGGGAAACCCUGACCGAGCAACGCCGCGUGAGCGAAGAAGGCCUUCGGGUCGUAAAGCUCUGUUGUAAAGGAAGAACGGCGCAUACAGGAAAUGGUAUGCGAGUGACGGUACUUUACCAGAAAGCCACGGCUAACUACGUGCCAGCAGCCGCGGUAAUACGUAGGUGGCGAGCGUUAUCCGGAAUCAUUGGGCGUAAAGAGGGAGCAGGCGGCCGCAAGGGUCUGUGGUGAAAGACCGAAGCUAAACUUCGGUAAGCCAUGGAAACCGGGCGGCUAGAGUGCGGAAGAGGAUCGUGGAAUUCCAUGUGUAGCGGUGAAAUGCGUAGAUAUAUGGAGGAACACCAGUGGCGAAGGCGACGGUCUGGGCCGCAACUGACGCUCAUUCCCGAAAGCGUGGGGAGCAAAUAGGAUUAGAUACCCUAGUAGUCCACGCCGUAAACGAUGGUCACUAAGUGUCGGGGGUCAAACCCCGGUGCUGCAGUCAACGCAAUAAGUGACCCGCCUGAGUAGUACGUUCGCAAGAAUGAAACUCAAAGGAAUUGACGG
rnacentral:rRNA from 1 species